rnacentral:rRNA from 1 species
UCACUGACAUUAGAUACCCCCGUAGUCCCAGCCGUAAACUAUGCGCGUUAGGUGUACUGGUGACCACGAGUCACCGGGGUGCCGAAGGGAAACCGUGAAACGUGCCGCCUGGGAAGUACGGUCGCAAGGCUGAAACUUAAAGGAAUUGGCGGGGAGCACCACAACGGGUGGAGCCUGCGGUCUAAUUGGACUCAACGCCGGAAAUCUCACCGGAUAGGACAGACAUAUGAUAGCCGGGCUGAAGACUCUACUUGAUGAUCUG